rnacentral:lncRNA from 10 species
UCAACACCAAGGAGAAUGGUCCAGCAACAGCUCGGUCCAAGCUUGUCAACCGCCCACCUCCACACACUCCAGCCCCGGUCCACAUCCCCCAAGGCUCCUUGUGGGAUUCCUCAGCAGCACCAAUGCACUGACUGUCACUAUGUUCUCCUAGAUUUGGUCGAAGAUCUCAGUGAAUACCCAUCUGUCCAUCUUGAAGACCUCAUGACACCGGAGAUGGCAAAGGAGAGACGCGAAGAUUACCUCUGCUGGGUUAACAUGGCACAAUCUCGGCUCAAUGAACCCAUCAGCUCCCAGGUUUGAGGACUUCUCCGGCUUC